AUUGAACGCUGGCGGCAGGCCUAACACAUGCAAGUCGAGCGAGCGGCGGACGGGGGUGGAAUGUAUGGGGACUGCCCGAUAGAGGGGGAUAACUACGGGAAACGGUAUCUAAAACCGCAUACUAUCGGAUAACCCAUAUGGGAUUAGCUAGUAGGUGAGGUAAUGGCUCACCUAGGCGACGAUCCCUAGCUGGUCUGAGAGGAUGAUCAGCCACACUGGGACUGAGACACGGCCCAGACUCCUACGGAGGCAGCAGUGGGGAAUCUUGCACAAUGGGCGCAAGCCUGAUCCAGCCAUCCCGCGUGUAUGAUGAAGGCCUUCGGGUUGUAAAGUACUUUUGGCAGAGAAGCGGUAUCUGCAGAAUAAGCACCGGCUAACUACGUGCCAGCAGCCGCGGUAAUUC
rnacentral:rRNA from 1 species